CUCAAAAGCUGGUCACGUUUUGGAGGAACAGAUAAUAUCGUGAAUCGGCAGCUCGGGGAGAAACCCUUUCGCUCAGCCGUUAUACAGAAAAGGCCAUUCGUAAGCGGAUGCAUCUACAACUUUGGAUCGUUCAGUGCUUCCGUCUUACGGCACCGCGUUUAACAGCGGCAUCGUACCACCAGCAGGUUGGCGGUCCAACAAUCAGGUUUCUGCCGCCCUUGUUUUGAUGUUAAGGAUUAAAAAGGUUGAGAAAGACUGAGCGAGGGCGAUGGAGAAGGAUAUGAAGAGGGAGAGAGAGGGAGAGAGAGAGAAGGGCGCUGACAGCUGUCCAAACCUCUCAAGAUAUCAGAGCAACUGCAGCACCUCGGCAACCAGACAGAUAAGACGAGGUAUCGAACAGAAUCAGCAAUAAGCAAACAGCCACAAACAACAACAGCCACCCAGCGCUCGGUGUGACGGGAGGCGGGAGGGGGGGGGGGGGCUUUACACCAAGGUGUUGCUGCUCAUUGCAGCACUGUUUCACUGCCUUUUAAAAAACAUUACUAGAAGAAUGUGGAUCAAUAAUAUAUUUUCAAGCUACCCAAAUCAGCUAACUGAGCACAACCAGAAUUGUGAAUGUUACAACAUCUCACCUUCAAAGGGUCAGAGGUCGUCCCUUUUUACAGACAUAACUUUGUAAACCUAACACAAAUAAUUACACCAAAAAGAUUGAAGGCGAGCAUCCUUCUGUUUUCUGCCUUGCAGCUGAUUAUUAAUCCAACUAAACGGGUAGUUCAGUUACUCAGGGCCUGCUGCCUAAUGGUUUGCAUUUGGAAUUCAUGAUGAUAUUCACAACACGGUAUCGGUUGUGUGUUAUCGUCCCCGUGACACACUUCACAUCUUGUUUUUGGAUGUUGGGAAUAGUCUUUAGUCUUUCACGGCGAGCCGAGGACAACGCGCGGCCAGCGGCAGAGGAUUCAUCACUCUCUUCAUACUGCCGGAUAUGAAUCAUGCUCUCUCUGUGUUGUCCCCCCGCCGCAGGAAUUAGUUAAGAGCCGCAAGGCCGUCCAAUUCCUCAUCCAUUUGCCCCGUCUCAUUCGUCUCUGUCUUCCUCAGUUUUUUUUUUUUUUUCCUUUUUUUAACGCACCGAUUCGCUGUCACCGGAGGUUCAAUGCAUAUCUCACUUUACAAACCAGACUAAGAUUAAGAGACACAGCGAGAGGCAACAGACAGCCGAGCCCAUUGAGAGAGGAGAAUUGGAUAAUCAGCCAAACCACACGCCACUUUCGUUCCAAAAUGAGAUAUCUAGGACCCGUCGCCACGGUGGGCGUUCUGGGUCUCACUCACGAGCCGAACAGACCUCGCCUCCAAUUCCGCCGCACGCGUCACGCAUCAGCGUGGCCCGCAGAGGAAUGCAGCCGUACCUGCAGGGAUGGAUUUAUCUCCUUUGACUUCUUACUUCACCAGAGAUUACUGUUGCCUGGCAACCAAAAGCACUCAAGUCUAUGUUGAGCGUCACAUUUUCUUUGUAUCUCAAGAGCUUCCCAGUGACACUUGAACCCGCGACCUUGUGUUUCAGCAGACCGAGAUCAAGUGUGGGAUUUCUUUGGGAUUUUGGGGAGUGUGACAUAUUUGAACAACACUUACCAUGCGCCCACAAGCUGGCUUUGGAUAGCUCUAAAUAAUGUGAAGUGACUUAACCUAUAGUAGUGUUUAAAUGAUACGUGUUAUUAUAUCAACUUGUGCUUUUCUGACAUUCAAACUAAUGUUGGGGUGAAGAGGUCAGGUGGAUAAGGGCACUGUAAUGCAUAAACCUCUCAUACGGGAGACUAAGCUUGUGUCCAGCACUCGUUAAAUCGCUAAAUCUAAACAGAAUGUCAUUGAGUCGGUCCUUCAGGCCUCCCUCCAAAGCCCCCCCCCCCCCCCCCCCCCCCCAACAAUGAAUACUGCUUGUUGUUAGUACGAGCAGCUGUCAAGGUAGCAGCUUGUGGAAGACUUCAGUGAUGCGGAACGAAUGGGUAGAGUGCCCACAGGCAGGUAGACGGGCAGGUAGACGGGCAGGUAGACGGGCAGGUAGACGGGCAGGUAGACGGGCAGGUAGACGGGCAGGUAGACGGGCAGGUAGACGGGCAGGUAGGCAGGCAGGUAGAAGGGGAGCUGAACCGACAGAUAGGCUGCCCAAUCGGGUCUUUUGGACCAAACCAAAUGAUUGGACGAGUUGAUGAGCAGUCAUGUGACAACCAGUGUUAGGGAUUUAAGCGAGAAGUGCACCCCUAUUGGUGGAAAUUAUACGUGUAAUAAUGUUUAGUGUUUGUGUGUUAUUAGAUAUUAGUUAUUAUAUUAACAUAUUAGAUAAAGUGAAUGUAAUAUGAAUUAAACACAAUGUAUAGUCAUGUAAAGCAUAUAAACACUGUACACAUUAACAUUCUGUCACAAUGUGAUGUUAAAACCUGGGGACUGAUGCUAAUUGCCGUCCUCUAUGGAUUUCUCCCAAUUUUCAGUUUUUUCUCAUGUCAGGUAGUAAAUGAACAACUGAAUACAAGACAGCCGAUUGAGGCAAAUGUCUUGAGAAUUGGACCACAUGAACUGUAUUAGAUCUUAUGAUGUAGUGUGAUGAACGGUGAUCAUUUAUGAUGUGUUGUAAUUAAGGUGUACUAGUUAUAAGAUGAAGACUUAAACUAUGCAUGCUUUGUUAUAUUCACUCAUUCAGCGUGGUUACAUGGAUUCGAAUAACAGGCUUAGUUGGACUGAAAUCGAAUUAUCCGUUUCAUGUAAACACCUUUGUCCGACUAUGUGCGGCCCGACUACGAUCCGACUAACACCCCUGGAUAACUUGAUCCGAUCCAGUUGAUAGUUCGACUAUUGCGGCAUGUAAGGGUGAAUCGGAAGGAACUGGACUUUGCGUGUUUGCGCAUACUUGAGAUCCCGACGGCGUCUUCUCUCCGUUAUCAAAUCAAGCAAUAGCGCCAUUCGCAUUCGCUGUACUCCUAUUAACAUCAUGCACAAAUAGUAGAGGGAUGUAGCUUCACCUUGCUCUCCGUUCGCCAUCUUUCUCGUAAUGUUGUUGUUGGUGGUUGUUGUUGGUUGUUGUUGUUGGUAGUGGUGAAGCGGUCAAGCGGAAAUGGCUGUAUCACAACUAGUUGUAAUGAAAACAGCGGCACCUAUCGUAUCGGGUAUGACAUGCUUUCGGCCAAUGAUUCGAUUUAUUCACUGCCAUGUAUAUUGGGAUAAUAGCACUUGCCCCGAAAGAUGGCAUAGUCCGACUAAGCAAAGAUUUGAAUUAUACCAUCAUGUAAACACACUGAUUAAGGCAUAAAGCCAAAUGUAUCUACAUUGAAUGUGUUGGAAUGUGAGGGACAGAUAGGACAGAGAGGUUUCAGGUUACACCUGCAGCUUCACACCUCAAUGUGAAGGGGACAAUACAGGAGGAGACAGUUUGAAGGAGAAGCCAAUGACAUUCAAAUGCACCAAGGAAGACACACCUCAAGAGUUUUCAAAUGACCAAAGCGGGGAAAGGACUGUUAGAAUUUUCCUGCAGCCGCUUUGAUAAGUCGCUUUAGACUUGUAACGUUGUUUAGUUAUUAAAUACUUUUUGAUUUUUGAAUUUAAGCAAGCUGACUCUUUUGAUUCUUCGUUUCCGGUCGGGACGAGAACAAAAGAGUGAGGCCUCUUUCGAGGGCUUUCCGAACCCUUAACACCAGACAUGUUGUUUGCUCCUUUUUUUAACAAUUUUAUUUAAAAACCAAUUUAUUUUACCUUUAAAUAAUGUACGUCAGCCUCGACCAAGUGGAUUUGUUAUUACAACGAUGUUAAUUGGAGGAACGUCGUAAUCCUGGUCACACUCUCUUCUAUCUCUAAAAGUAAAGCAUGCAUAAUGGAGCUGCCAGGUGCAUAUAUAAUGUUGGAGGAAAGAAUUAUGGAAAGAGGCAAGAAAAUUGAGAUGGUCUUCCUGCUGCUCUCCUCCUUAAAUCUUCUUUCAAUAUUAUAUUUCCUUUAUCAAGCUGCCUUUUCUUCAGCAGUUUCUAAUUUUCCUUUCGUUCAUCCCCCAUAUCUCUCAUUUGACAUUGACAUCUUUCCUCCUCCUGUCCUUCAUUUGCCCCUGCCCUCCAUCCUUCUCUCCCUCCUUCAGCCCACUCCCUCAUUCCUCGCCUCCUUCCCGCUCAGGCGCCUCCAUUUUAGCUCCUCAUUGCGCUGCAGGUGAUGUCACGGGUGGAGUGUGAAUGUGUGUGUGUCUGUGUAUGUCUGAUAUUGCCCUCCUUGCCCUCAUUUUGUGUGAAUAAGAUGAUCCACCUCCUUACGACCACAGUGCCCCCUCCUCCCCCCAUCACUCCGCUGCACACUUCCACUCACAUAAAGGAGUCAAUUUGUCAGAGAUGUCAGUGGUACUAAUGAACAGCCAGCUUCUAGGCAUAUGUGUGUGUGUGUGUGUGCGGGAGCACGUCCGUACUGUUGCUGCAGCGUGGUGUGAAUAAGCGUGUGGCAAGUUUACUAAGCAGUCAAGUACACGUGUAUAUUUAGCUGCCGUGUGGA
ensembl:lncRNA